UGGGGAAUUUUGGACAAUGGGCGAAAGCCUGAUCCAGCAAUGCCGCGUGUGUGAAGAAGGCCUUCGGGUUGUAAAGCACUUUUGUCCGGAAAGAAAUCCUUGGCUCUAAUACAGUCGGGGGAUGACGGUACCGGAAGAAUAAGCACCGGCUAACUACGUGCCAGCAGCCGCGGUAAUACGUAGGGUGCAAGCGUUAAUCGGAAUUACUGGGCGUAAAGCGUGCGCAGGCGGUUUGCUAAGACCGAUGUGAAAUCCCCGGGCUCAACCUGGGAACUGCAUUGGUGACUGGCAGGCUAGAGUAUGGCAGAGGGGGGUAGAAUUCCACGUGUAGCAGUGAAAUGCGUAGAGAUGUGGAGGAAUACCGAUGGCGAAGGCAGCCCCCCUGGGCCAAUACUGACGCUCAUGCACGAAAGCGUGGGGGAGCAAACAGGAUUAGAUACCCCUGGUAGUCCACGCCCUAAAACGAUGUCAACUAGUUGUUGGGGAUUCAUUUCCUUAGUAACGUAGCUAACGCGUGAAGUUGACCGCCUGGGGAGUACGGUCGCAAGAUUAAAACUCAAAUGAAUUGACGGGGUCAUAGCUGUUUCCU
rnacentral:rRNA from 1 species